GACGAACGCUGGCGGCGUGCCUAAUACAUGCAAGUAGAACGCAGUUGCGAACGGGUGAGUAACGCGUAGGUAACGGCCUCAGAGCGGGGGAUAACUCUUGGAAACGAUAGCUAAUACCGCAUACUGUGAGAUGGACCUGCGUUGAAUUUGGUAGUUGGUGAGGUAAAGGCUCACCAAGGCGACGAUACAUAGCCUACCUGAGAGGGUGAUCGGCCAAACUUGGACUGGGGAACGGGUCCAACUCCCACGGGAGGCAGCAGUAGGGAAAUUUCGGCAAAGGACGGCAGUCUGACCGAGGAACGCCGCGGGAGUGAAAGAGGUUUUCGGAUCGUAAAGCUCUGUUGUGAGAGAAGCGUUAACUAAACAGAAAGGGACGGCUAACUACGUGCCAGCAGCCGCGGUAAUUC
rnacentral:rRNA from 1 species